rnacentral:lncRNA from 1 species
AGAGAAAGAAAGGUGAAGCGCAAGAAGGAAAAUGCAUGAAAGACAAUGAAGAUAAAGUAGAAGAAGGUAGAAAUGAGGAGAGACACACAAGAAAAAGACAAAGACGACAAAGAAGAAAAACCAAACAGUAUAAAAUGGGGAAAGAAAGAAAACGAAGAAGUCACAUUUAUCUUAAUUUAGUUGGUUAUAGGUUUCAUACAUUUAUUUACUAUUAUUUUUGGGUGUUUAUUUUUGGAUGGUGUUUACUUUUUAGGAUUAGUUAUGUUUUUGAUCUCGUAUGUCUUAAAUGGUUUGUUCUAAUUUUUUGGGUUUACAACUUUUAAAGUUUUUUUUUACGUUUUUGAAACUUUUCGGUCCGCGCAAAGCGCGGACUAAACACCUAGUAUUAACUAAAAAAUCAAUCAGUGAACGACUUGUGAUAUGUUAUGUCCCCUGCUUUAUAAAUUUAACGUGUUGAAUAAUCUUAUAAUAUUAAAGGAGAAGUACAUUUAGGAAAAUGACCUCCGUGUUACAUGGUAUAUUACAAUGAAUGCCAUUGUAUAAAAAUGUAUCCCAUGAACAAAAAAAACUCAAACCAAAGAGGAUCCGCGUCCUUUUAAAAUGAUCCGUUUAAAAGGACGUGAAUCCUAAUUCUGACCCGUUUUGUAUUCUCUCUAUCUUAUUUAUUUCAAAUUUUCAAUAAAAACGUAAUUUAAACAAAAUAUCCUAUUAUUACGAAUAAACUAAACUUCGCAUAACUGUCGAACUCAUUUGAAUAGAUUGGCAAGAUUACGUAUCCGAAUUAAAUAUACUUCAAAUCCUGUUAUGAUAUCUAUUAUUAAUUAUACUGAUAAUUAUUGUUACCAAUUACAACAAUAAGCACAAUAAUAAGGUAAACAAUUCUAACCACUAUCACAUAUCUCAUUUGGGUUUUUUUCCUAUAUUUAUUGAACACAAUAUAUUCUCAUAAAUGUAUGUUACUUAUAGUAUUCCUUAAAUUUCUAAAUAAUAUAAUAGGUGCUCCUCAUUGACUUAUACCAUAGGAUAUUUCGAAUUUAUCUCGUUUAUAUCGCAUCUCCGUGUAUAUAGACAAUUACAACUACUUUACAAAAACAACGUAAUUUUAUAUUUGGCAUAUCUAUUUCAAAAAUUCAAAUUUCACAAAUAUUCUUGGCCGCCAAUGUAUGGACAUUUAACGGCUUAUCAAUAAAUCCUAUAUUUUUUCUUAUAAAUAUACAACCCCUACUUCCAAACCACUCCUCAUCAAGUUUCGUUUUCCUCUCUGUUUUGUUUUGUUUUCAUUGUUCUUAUGGCUUCCACAACGAAGCUAAACCCUUUAGCUGACGUUAAGCCUUAUAGACUGGGUGGAAGGUUCAAGUGAAGGUACUUCAUACAUGGAAACAAUACCAAACCAAGAGUGGGGACUCUUUGGAAAUCAUCCUGGCCGAUGAAAUGGUACAAUAUAUUAUUAAUCGACAUUACUUUUUAAUAUUUUGAUUGUUCUGUUAAUUUUUUAAACUUUUUGAUCAUCCAGGGUACCAAAAUCCACGCAACUGUCAAGAAAAACUUGCUGCAUCGUUUUGAACGGAUGAUGGUUGUUGGUGAAUGGAAAUUCAUAGAGAACUUUUCAUUGAAUUAGGCUUCAGGACAAUACCGGAUCACCAAACAUCAAUUUAAGAUGUCAUUCAUAUCCUCUACAGUUGUCAGCAAAAGUUCUAAUCGGUCAGACAGUCUAUUUUUUUAUUUAUCUGAGUUUGUUACAAUAUUGGACGAUGUAACCAAUACACGUUUUUUGGUUGGUAAGUUUACUGAUAUAUUUCAAUUAAUUUUUUCAUUCCUCUUAGUUUCAAUAAUUAUCUGAUGUUAUUUUGCUAAAUAGAUGUUAUUGGACAAGUUAAAAGUGUCUGUGAGUUGCAACCAAUAUCUGUUAUGAAUAAGGACACCAGCAAACUCGAGUUCGCUCUACGAAAUGCUAAGUGAGUAUAUAUAUAAAUACAGACACUUUGUUUUUUUAUUGUUUUCUUUCAUCUGUUUUAUGUGAUAUGUGUUAUAGUGAUGAACGUUUACCAUGCACACUGUGGGGAAAACUUGGUGAGGAAGUCUAUUCGGCUUGUCGGAGUGCAGGUGAAAGAAGUGUCAUUCUUGUGAUCCGUUUUGGGAAAAUAAACGUUUUCAAAGGUACAUAUUAAUUUUGUUUAUUCAUAAAUUUGUUCUUUUCAUACAACACCAUUGUUUUUUUGUUUUUGUUUUGAUUGUUAAAUAUUGUAGGUGAUUGUCGAAUUACAAGUAGUUGUCAAACAACAAAGGUUCUGAUAGAUUUGAAUGAUCCCGAUGUUAUUGUCUUCAAGAAUAGGUAAUUUGUCUAUGUAUAUUAUAUAUAUGUCUUAUCAUUACGAUUACGAAUACAACUAAUACUAUUACCUAUUCUUAGUUUACAUGAGAAUUGCGGACGUAUUAUCUUCUUGAGUAGCAAACCUCAACAAAGGGUUUCUUAUGGUGAUGAGAUUCAUUUCGAUCAGCUUCCAAUGGUCACUAUUUCAGAAUUGCAAGAUUCUCUUGAGGUAUAUGUCCUUUUAAAACUUUGCUAGGGAAAACAUCAUAUAUUAUAUAAUUUUGACAUUUGUAUUUUUGUUUCUUCAGGUUGGGAAAUGUAAGAUCAUGUGCACCAUCUACGCGGUUGACACAGACUGGUCGUGGUUUUAUUUGGUUUGCACUAGGUGUGGUAAAAAAGUGUACAAAAUUCCAAAGAAGGCAGAUUAAAAAAUGACCAAAAAGAAUAAGACCCUUUAUUCAUGUGAAACAUGUGAUGCAAAAGUGUCCUUUGUGAGUACGAGGUAAAAUUUUUUACUAUUUUUUUAGUAUUUGUCUUAAUUAUUUAGAUAACGGUGCAUUCAAGUAUUUUAAUACAAUCUUGAUAUAUUACUAGGUACAAACUUCAUCUUUGCGUUAUGGACGAUACCAGUAGAUCAAGUGUUUUCUUUUUGAUAGAAAUGCACAGGAUAUUUUAAAUCAGAAAGCUGAUAAAAUUCUCAAGGGGAACUUCGAUGAGGUAUUAAUUGUAAAUUUUAAUCUAUGAUACAAUUUUAACCCUUUAUGAUUAAAGACUUUGUUUGUUUAAAAUUUAAUGUACGUUAUAAACUUAGAUACAAGAUCCGGAUGUCGUUCCUAAUGCACUGCAAAAGUUGAUUGGAAAGACUUUUCAGUUUCUGAUUUGUGUUGAGAAAGAAAAUCUCUACGGUGGUAGUAAUACAUCCAAAGUCGGGAAGGUUUGGAAAGGAAUGAUGUUUAUCCGCUGAUGAGGUGAAUGAAUCUGAAGAUAUGGGUGAUCAGAGUUUGCUCUGUCUGUAUAGGUAUAAUUUCGAAAAAUAUUAGCUUGGGUUGCAUAUAAUAAUUUGUAUAUAUUUAUAUACGGUAUUGGCGUUUAUGUUUAUAUUUAUAUGUAAACUUUGUAGGUGUCGCUGAUAAACACGCUGAGGCAAGAGCCUUCUUAUGAGGUGGAAAUUUGACACGAGACUCGUCGUGCACAUGGAUCUGGCAAAAGUGAUGGGCCUGAUAUAGGGAAAAAUAUGGUUAUUUGAAUUCGUAUCUUUUCAUGUUAUUUCGCUAUUCUUGUUCAACUUUUUGUUGAAAUUUGUUCAGAUGAUACUCGUGCAUUUGUUCUUGAACUAUAAUAAUUUAUUUUUUUAAUUUAACCAUUACUACGUUUACAUUAUUUUACAAAUUACUUGUGUAUCGUGUUAAUUUUAUUGGGCUAAAAAUUAAUAUUGCCUCACGUUUUGCAGUGACAUAAUUGAGUAAUUACUAUAGUAUAUGUAUGAUGAAGAAAUUGUAGAUGAAUUAUACACUUAAUUUGGAGUACAUACCUUAUUUUUAUAUUUUUCAAGAUAUUUUCCAAUAUUUAUAGAAGAUAUAUUCAUUUAUUUGUAAAUGCUAUUCUAUGGGAAUUUGUGAUAAUUGAGUCAAUUGUAUCUUAAUAUGUUUUAAUUAGAGCGGACUUUUGGGGAAUAUGAAACACACGGAUGAAACGUGAGUAGUCACCUUACUUUUACGACUAUAAAUAAAAGUAGAAGGGAACUUUCUUUACUCAAAUUAAAUUCUCUCUACAACUAUUCCUCUCAUGUGGUCCUCAGACAGACGUACAAAAACUAUCUUUACAUCCAAGAAAAAAAAUGUUUCUCUACUAAAUAUUUUUUGUACAUCUGUCAAGGAUCACAUCAGAAAGAAGUAGUUUAUUUCAUUUCCUAAACAGUAUUAUUUACAUUUAUAUUAUUCACCAUAAAAGGUCGGAUUAUUAUUUCUUAUAUGCUCAUCUCUGUAAUUUAUACCUAAGUAAAGUACUAAUAUAAAUCUCAAUUCAUUUUUUUUUAUGUAGAUAUUCGUGGAAUUAAUUAUUAAGUAUGUAAUUAUUAUCUUAUACAUUUCAUUCAGCUAUUAAGCAACAUUAUUUAACGUAUAGAACAAAUAUAAUAAUUUAGUGAAUGAAUUUUAACAAAAAAUGAUAUUUUAUAUAGUGGGAAAAUUCGAUUGCAUAUAUAAUAUAUAAUCAUAUUGAGUGAAUAUGUGAAUUACCUAAUUAUAUACUGUUUUAACGAUUUACAGUAUGCAAUUAAUAAAUUAUAAUAUUUUGUAAAUAUACAGCGUGAAAUUGUAAUGACAAUGUUUUUAAGAUGCUUCAUAUCUAUGGCAAGUAACAAUAAUUGUUAUGUACAUAACUCGAUUUAUGGUAAGUUAUUCAUAUAUGUGAAUGAUAAUUUCAUAUAAAUAUAUUUAAAUUGGUUAUGUUCAUUUAUCAAUUUUUAGUUUAAAAUAAAAAGAAAUCUUUACAUAUCAUAAUUGAUUAAUAGAUAUUGUUAAGAUUCACUUGUAGGAUUUGUGGCCGUAAAUUUAACCUAAAAUCUUUAAUUUUAUUCUUAGUCUAUCUUCCCUCCCUAAUCCAUCAUUUUUUGCUAUAUUUUAAUCUUCACGAAGAGGUUUUAUGAGAGGUUAAAUUAUGCCUAGGAUUAAACAUGUUGAUCGGAAGAAUAAACAGAAGACUUGUUGUCUGGUUGGAGCAGCCAAGUUAAUAAUUCAGGGUCAUCAUCUACUAAUUUGUUUACUCAAAACUCAGAUAUAGUGGAUAAUCAUUUUGAAAACGAGAUCAAAGGUCAUUCACUGUUUCCACAAAUUUUGGUAGACAGAACAAAUACUGAAUCCAUAACUAGAACGCGUAAUCAAUUUUCUUGUACUGUAUGUGAUGGACUGGAAAACUGUAAGUCUUCUUAAAUUGAUGUUUAGAAACUAUUUUCUUUAAAUCUUAUAUUAUUAUCGUUAACACAAUGGUUAUAAAUCAUUAAACUUUAGUAUGUGACAUUAUUAUUUCAAUAAUUCAGCUUUACAUACUCAAACAAAUUAUACUGGGAAAGAGAAUUCUUUCACAUUAAAAAAGAGAAAGCGGAAACAACUAGAAUCACUAUCUUCAUGUGAGUUAUAUAUGUUUGGCGUAUUAUGGUCCUUUAUAUAUAAUGUACCUUGAUAAGUAUUGGUUUUCGUAAUUUUUAUUUUAUUUAUAUAGCCGACCUAUCCCAGUUGACAUCAACGAAGUUAACUAAUUUUGGGUCAAGUAACAAGUCAACCAAGUUUGUUUUCUUAAAAAAUGGAGAUUCAUCUUGUAUACGGAAUACAGAUGCUAUAUCUUUGUAUGAAGAUUAUAAAUGUAAACAGGAGAUUGGUCAGAACUACAACGAGAAUAUUCUCGACCAUCAACAUCAUGAAGGUAAGUACUUAUAUUGCAACUAAUUUUGUGCCCAGAAAAUAUCGUUUACUUGUAUUUCGUAUUGUUUUAAAUUCGUCUGUCAGGACAUGUUGAUUAUAGUAGUCUUGGUGUUGAUGAUACCAAAGAUAUGUAUGAUGAUGUCGUCUUUCCAAACAAAUACUGGGAUUCAGAAGGUAAUAUUUUAUUUGCUGUAUUGACUUAAUGUGCAAUUAUAUAUACUUAUACUUUUUAACUAAUAACAAUUAUAUAUUUUAUAGAUGAGUAUGAUUAUGAACAGCGGUUUGACUGUAGCAGUCUUGAUGGUUCCUCCGAUGAAGAAAACUAUAUUAUGGAUGAAGCUGGCGAAGAAAUUUUAUCUGACAAUGAGGAACCUGAAGACUAUGUUUAUGAUGUCAAGAUUUUAGCUACUAUUUUGCAGAAAACGUUUUCUGUAGGAGUCUCUAAUAAUAAUAAUCAUUUCAGCGAAUAUAAAGGUAUUUAUUUCUAAAACUCAAUCUUAUGUUAUGUGUUUCACAUAUUAAUUUAUUAUAAUGUCGGACUACUUUUAUAUUCAGAAUAUAAAGAUGAUGGCUAUCCUUCAUAUGAGUGUAAUUAUUGUGGUGCAAUUUUCUGGUAUGGUGAAUGUUUAAACAAAAGAAGAAGAGCAAAGAAUCCUAUAUUUUCUUUGUGAUGUUCGCAAAUUCAAGUAAAGCAACCAUACCUUUGAGAUUCUCUAGAGGAAUUCAUGCAUCUAUUUACAUUUGCCGAUGAUCUAAGCAAACAUUUUCGCAAGAAUGUUAGACCCUACAAUAUGCUAUUUUUAAUGACUUCAAUUGGAGGUAAAGUAGAUAGGUCGAUCAAAAAGGGGUGUGAACCAUCAAUGUUCCAGCUUAACGGAGAGAAUUAUCAUUUGAUGGGAAGUAUGCUCCCUAAACCUGGUGAUGUUACAAAGUUUUAUCAGUUAUUUAUUGUUGACAGCGAUGAAGAAGUACAAAAUUGUUCGACCAUUAUGAGGUAUAAAUAAUAAUUGAAUUCAUAUUUAUUAUUACUUUAUUAUAAUAAUAAUAAUAUAUUUUUCUUGCAGCAAAAGUAAAAAUCCUAUGAAUGUGUCUAAACGUAAACAAUUCAGGAAUGAAUUAAUUGAUAGGCUGGUUAAGAUGUUAGAUAAGGUGAACCCUUACGUGAAGAAUUUUUGAGCUGCUGAGACAGAUUAAAAAUGGAUCCCAACGAGGAGCUUCAUAUGAGACUUAUAAAUGAUCGCCAUAAAGACUCAAGGAUAUAUAAUAUGCCUAUUGCGUCUGAAGUGGCUGCGUUGAUCUCUGGUGAUCUGAAUGAGGAUAUGUGUAAGCGUGAUAUAAUAUUGCAGAAACAAAGCGGCAAGCUGAUAAUGAUUAGUGAAAUUCAUCAUUCAUACAUUGCUCUACAGUAUCCUUUGAUUUUUCCGUAUGGUGAAGACGGCUUCCAUAUUCGCAUUGAAAAAUGCUUUGCAAAGACUGGGAAGAAGAAACGGAAACGAGAAUAUAUUAGCAUGAGACAGUUUUUUGCAUUUCGUAUACAUGAGCGAAAGAAUGAAUGUCACACUUGCUGCGUGCUAAGAGGUUAUUCCAGCAGUUUCUGGUUGAUGUUUUAACUAUGAUAGAGGCAAAUCGUGUCGGUUAUCUUGACAAAAACCAGACAUCACUCAGAUCUGAAAAUCUUGAUUCAAUAGAAGAUGCAUCAAAUAAAGGUAAAAAGAAUUUGCGUGAUCAAGGUAGAAAAACGUAUUUGCCUCCUUCAUUCACUGGUGGACCUCGAUAUAUGACUCAAUGCUACUUGGAUGCAAUGUAUGUAUGUAAUCAUUUUGAGUACCCUGAUCUGUUCAUCACCUUUACAUGUAAUCCAAAGUGGUCAGAAAUCACAAGGUAUGUGAACGAGCGGAAACUCAGCUUUGAUGAUAGACCAUAUAUAAUUUGUCGGGUGUUCAAAAUGAAGCUAGAUUCUAUGAUGAUGGAUUUUGCUGAUAACAGACUCGGUAUAGGAAAAAUUAUUUCUGGUUAGUAACUUUGGCAUUCUUUAAUAUUGACAUUUGUAAUAUCAAUAUCAUAGAGUUUAUUCAUUGAUAUAUAUUUUCGUAAUUUCAGCCAUGUACACCAAAGAGUUUCAGAAGAGGGGUCUACCGUAUGCACAUAUUCAAUUGUUUUUAGAUCCAACUUCAAAAAUUCCUCCUGAAAAAAUCGACAAUGUUAUAUCAGCUGAGAUACCCGACCGAUAUGAAGAGUCAGAGCUUUAUAGAAUUGUUUCAGAAAUGAUGAUUUAUGGUCCAUGCGGUGAUCUUAAUCCAAGAUCACCAUGCAUGUCUCAAGGGAUUUGUACAAAAAUGUAUCCUAAACAGCAUGCUGAGACGACAGCUAUUAAUAAAGAAGGUUUUCCUUUGUAUAGAAGGAGGUCACAGCUCGAAGAUUACGUUGACAAAAAUGGGUACAAAUGUGAUAAUAGAUUUGUGAUACCCUAUAACAAGAAGUUGUCUCUUUGUUAUCGAGCUCAUAUCAAUGUUGAGUGGUGCAACCAAGCUUCUUCCAUUAAAUACUUAUUUAAGUAUAUAAUAAAGGGUUUGAUCGUGUUACGUUUUUGAUUGAGCCUUCACAAGCACAGAAUGUGAAAGCUGAUAGAGGAGAUAACAAUCAUUGUGAUUCCACACAUGAAUGUCAAGCAAAGAAGAAAAUGAGAUUAAAGACUUCUUCGACUGCAGGUUUGUUGUCAACACUUAUAUUUGAACUAUUGUCAGAAUAAAAACUAUAUAUUUAAUUGAAUAUUUUAGUUGUUUACUUCUAACAUACUAUUUUAUUAUACAGAUAUGUAUCUGCGUGUGAAUCUGUAUGGCGAAUCUUAAAAAAUCCAAUCCACAAUCGUGUGACCACCGUGGAACACAUUUCAUUUCACUUACCAGGCAACAGUUGGUAUAUUUCAAGGACGAUGAAAUGGUAGAAUUGGUUAUCCAUAGAGAAGUUGUAAAGAACAUUUCCUCUGAAAACCAAUAUAUUCAUGCAAGGACAAAACAAUCUUAAAACCAAUUUGAUAGGUUCAGAGAGCAGAGAGAGGGAAUAUGUGAACAAUUUUCUUUUCUAAUUCACUCCUGAUAUAUUGCGACCAACAAAAAACAACACAAUUAACCAAAUGAUAUUUGUCAGUUACAACAAACAAAAAAUGAGAGUAUAUCAACGAGCAGUCUCAGCUCUCCAUAAACCCAGAGGUUUCCACAACACCUAGAAGCAUGAUAACAGCACCUAACUCUUGUCUAAACUGAUUACAUUCUUAACUAAAUUGUUGGUUUAACAAUUGGAUUUGAUGAACUCUUACCACAAUGUCUCAUCAAAAUCAAAAGCAAUGAAAAAGGUACCUUAUCUCCUGGAUGUGAACCUGUAGUUUUGGAAAAAGGCCUUUCAUUUCCACUCCGGGUGAUUGAACUAUCAGAAAAAGAGAAGAUCAUCAUAAACUCAGAAAAGCAAGCACUUUCGUCGAACACAUUGUGUGCGCAAAAUAAAGCAUAUAAAAAUCCGCAAUGAAAGGUGAAGGAGCAUCGAAGAGUUAAUUACCACAGGAACGAUAGAAGUCAUGAUCGUCGGCUACCAUGAGGAAAUCAGGGUCAUAGAGAACUCCUUCCCCACUUGAUCCAAUCCCGCCUCCUCCUUUACCUCUUUUGGCACACAGGUUCUGUUGCAUCCUCUUGUGAGCACAGCCAUGAGGCUUGUAUAUUUGGGGAUUUUUGAUUGCUCUCUCCAAACUGCCACCAAACAAACCCUAAUACAGAUCCGUUUCUCCAUCUAAAGCACAAAAACGUCGGAAAAGAGCCAACCAGUUCGAACCCUUGGCGUGAAGCCCCUUGUCUCCGACUAAGCUCAUACCCAUACCACCACCAGUCGCCGAUGUCAAGCUCGGGAAAGGAAGCUUUGGAUCUCGGCGGCGCUGUUUGUUUAGGAUGAAGUCACACCAAAGACGAGAGAGAAAAUCGUUUUGAGAAGAGGAGGAGACGAGGAGAGGAAAAAAAACUUAAGAGAGGAAAUCGUGUUUCGCGAGGAGGAAGAGAAAAAGAAAAAUUAAAGAGAGAGAAUAAAAAUAGAGAGAAUCGUGUUUUGUGAGGAAGGAGACAAGGGAAAAAAAAAAUAUUUCUGUCAAACCUAAAAAAUUUGGGGAAAACAUUUCACCAAAACUAAAAUUAUCCUCAGUAUUUAGCGCCCAUGAUAGAAAUUAGACUCCAAAAUUAUUUAAUGCUUCUUUUUGGUAAAAUUAUGGGUUUAGCAUUAGUAAAGUGCUAUAAUAGAGUAUUUGAAGUUUAUGAGUUUUUUUUUUUUAACAGUGUAAAUACUUAGAACAGUUUAGUAAUCUAAACCGGAGGUAUCGAGUUUACAUAAUUGAUAUCGUGAGGGUAGAUCUGAACACUCCAUGCUAGAUUGUCUGCCUUCAUAUUCUUUGUUUGUAGGAUAUGUUUUUAACUUUUUAUGAAUUAUUUAUUUUUAAAUAAAUAUAUUUUAUAUUUUUCAGUUUAUGAGUUAUUUAGUUUUCAACUAAAUUUAACUUUUGCAUUUAAAUGUUUUUAAGUGAUUUGCAAUGAUUAAAUAUUUUUUAGUUAUGAAAUCGCCGAAAACCCUAUACCCCAAAAUCUAUGUCUUACACCCUUAUACAUUAAACCAUAAAAAUAUAUACAUAGGCCUAUACCCUAUAGUUUAUACCAUUAAACCUACACCUCAAAUCAUAUGCCAUAAACUAUAAAUAAAAGAUUCACUAACUUUUUCUUCUUAUGUAUAUUGUAAUAGUUUUUUCUAUUCCAUUUUAUGCUCUAAUUAUGAAACAAUAAUUUGUUGUAUAGUUUUUUUAUAACCUGAGAAAUAACAAAGAUAUAUUACAAGUGUGAAUCCUUAAACUCUAAAUCAAACAAUCUUUAAUCCAAAAAGUUAUUAAAUUUCUAUAGUAAUAAAAAUAUAAAAAUGUAUUUCAAAUCCUAUAUCUUUUUAUCCUAAACCCAAAUUUUACACUUAUUAACUUUUUGUUUUUAUUUUGUAUUUUGUAAUAGUUUUUUCUAUUCUAUUAUGUUUUCUCAGAAUAAAACAAUAUAUUUUUUAUGUUUUCUUAUUUCAAUUGAAAUAAAAAUUUUAAAAAAAAAUCUACCCUAAAUCACACAUAUUAGUCAAUAAAAAUUCCUAUAUAUCUAUUAUAAAUAGUACUAAAAAAUAUUUGACUCACUCGUUGGUUAUUUGACAUUUGUUACUUUUCUGUUCAUAAACUCUUACCUAAAACUUUAUUAGUAUAUUUUAUUAGUAAUGCUAAUGAUCCAAGAUCAACAGACAACAGCAUCUUUGAAUUCUCAAAAUCAGCAAUACACAUUGUUUAAUUUCUUCAGCAACAAUACAUCAGAUACAAGUUUGUAGAUAAAAAUAAAAUAGAAUAAGAAAUUCAUUCAAUUGAGUUUUUGGAUGUUUAUCUGAAUUAAACCUAUUUUCUUAUUUAUUUUUAAAUAAACUUGUGAUUUAAUCUUGUCACAAAGUGGUAACAAUUAUGUCAUAAAGUGGUAACAAUUAUGUCAUAAAGUGGUAACAAUUAUGUCAUAAUCUAUGACCAAGCUUAAAAGUGACUAAAAUAGUAACUAAUUGUGAUAAUGUACUUACAAAACAUUUGUAACUUUGAGUGACUUAAGUAUAAUCACAAAAAUCGUAUAAUUUAGUUACUAAAUUUGGUCGCAAAUCUGUAAUAUAUUUGUUACUAUAUAUUAUGUAACAAUUACAUCACGAUUAGUGACAAAAAUUUGUUACUUUUAAUUUGGUCACAAAAUUAUGACGAAAUGGUAACGAUUUUAUGACUAAAUAAUUUGGUCACGGUUUCGUAUGAAAAUCGUAACAAAAUUGUUACAAAAAAAAUUUAGUCACAACUUUUCGUAACAAUAUUCACUUUUUUUGUAGUGACAAAGAUGAAGGCUUGGUUUAAGUUGAACAAAAAAGGCGGUAAAUGUAAAACACUCACGUAUGGAGAAAUCCAUGUUUACUAUACGUGGGAUAAAUCACUUCGGAUGUUUAAACCAAGGAAAAGAGGUUUUGCUAUUGGAAGGAUUACUUAUGUUCCACGUAAACUAGAAGAAGCUUAUUUUUUGAGGAUUCUUCUUAAUGUUGUCAGGGGUCCAGAAUCAUUUGAUGACAUCAAAUCCUACAAUGAUGUGGUAUACCCUUCUUUCAAGAAAGCAUGUUAUGCUAGAGGGUUGUUAGAAGAUGACCAGGAGUAUAUUACUAAUAUUAUUAGAAUGAGUUUUACUGCUACCGGGUCAUUUUUAAGACGACUAUUUGUUAUAAUGCUUGUAUCUGGUAGUUUUUCUCGGCUUUAAUAUCUUUGGGAACAAACCUGGGAAGUUUUGUCAGAAGAUAUUGAAUGCAUGCGGCGACAGCAUUGUAAUCGGCCAGGUUUGAUAAAUUCAGUACCAUUUUCUUAUUUAUUUUAUUGCAUCUUUAAUGGUAUUGUUUAAAACCGUAAUGCAUUGUUUAAUUUGUUACUGAUUAGUAAAUUCAUUAUACAUAUAAUUUACACGUUUUGCAGGUCUUAUAUUGGACGAUGCUGAUAAGAAAAAGUUUGCCUUUUUGGAGAUUGAGAAGAUCUUGAAAUUUCACAAUAGUUCGUUGCAAUUCUAUACAUCAAUACCUAAGCCUCCAAAAGAUGGGCUUAACAACGAUAAUAUCUUAAUAAUUGAUGAAAAAAAUUAUGAUAGGCAGGCAUUAAAAGAAAUGCAUGAUAGAGACAUUGUGAAGCUUACCACUGAGCAAAGGAAGAUUUAUGAUGAGAUUAUUGAAGCAGUUGAGAACAAAAAAGGAGGCAUUUUUUUGUAUAUGGAUUUGGAGGUGCUGGCAAAACUUUCCUUUGGUCUUUUUGUCUGCUGUAAUAAGAUGUAAGGGUGAUAUUGUGCUAAACGUUGGAUCAACUGGAUUCGCAUCUUUGUUGUUACAAGGGGGUUGGACAGCUCAUUCGCGUUUUGGUAUACCUAUUAACCCAGAUAAAUAUACUACAUGUUCGAUGAAACGUGGUUCAGAAGUUGCGAAUUUGAUAGAACAAACAUCUCUUAUUAUUUGAGAUGAAGCACCUAUGAUGAGUAAAUACUGCUUUAAAUCGUUAGAUAAAAGUUUAUCUGACAUCAUGCAGAAUGAAGAAGGAGGUGUUUUCGGUGGGAAAGUUGUUGUAUUUGGUGGAGAUUUCAGGCAGAUUCUACCUGUCAUGCAUGGUGCUUCAAGGGGAGAUGUUGCUAAUGCUGCAUUGAAUGCAUCCUAUAUCUGGGAUUAUUGCAAAGUUAUGAAGCUAACAAAAAACAUGAGAUUAUUGGCAAGUGACUUGAGUGUUGAGCAAGCAAAUGAAUUAAAGGAAUUUUCGGAAUGGAUUUUAGAUGUUGGCAAAGGUAAAAUCGCUGAGCCAAAUGACGGUGAAGCAAUGAUUGAUAUUCCUGAGGAGUUCCUUAUAACGAACAUACAUGAUCCAAUCGAAGCAAUAUGUACAUAAAUUUACGGAGAACGGGAGGAAAAAGAGGCCAAGUUUUGGCAAGAAAGAGCAAUACUUUGUCCAACCAAUGAAGAUGUGAACAAUAUAAAUGAACAUAUGUGUCGAAAAUGACUGGUAAGUACAAUAUGUUCAUCUUAUAUGAUUGUGUUUUUAGUUUGUUUUUGGAAUUUUAUUCUUACUUAUAUCAAUAUUUUGAACUAAUUAACACAGCUGAGUCAAAAGUAUAUCUGAGUUCUGGUACUAUAGAUCAUGCUGACUCUGGAACAUUGCAAAAUCCCGCUUUUACUCCUGAGUUUUUAAACAGUAUAAAAGUUGCUGGACUUCCCAAUCAUUGUAUUACAUUGAAAAUAGGGGGUCCUGUGAUGCUGCUCAAGAAUAUUGAUCCUAAAGCGGGAUUGAUGAAUGGAACGAGACUUCAGAUUACACAAAUGGCGGAUUUCAUGAUAGAAGCAAGAAUUAUUACCGGAGAUAAAGCUGGAGACAAAGUUAUUAUUCCACGAUUGCUGAUCACUCCAUCUGAUGCAAGAUUGCCUUUUAAAUUAAGACGUAGACAGUUACCGUUGGCAGUUGCAUUCGCUAUAACCAUCAACAAAAGUCAGGGAAAGUCGUUAUCAGAAGUAGGUUUGUCUUUACCUCGUCCUAUGUUUUCUCAUGGGCAGCUAUAUGUUGCAAUAUCUCGGGUAACAUCGAAGAAAGGCUUGAAAAUACUGAUAGUAGAUAGAGAUAGUAAUCCACAAAGGCAAACAAUGAAUGUUGUAUUCAAAGAAGUAUUCCGGAAUUUAGGAAAUGAUCGUGAUGAUUAAAAAGGUAUGUAUUUCAUUUUCGUAUUCGUUCCAUUAAUAAUAUAAUGCAUUCAUUAUUUAAAACUUUUUGUUUUUAUGUUUUAUGUAGGGGUGAAUGCGUCACUGUAUUCCUAUGGUUAUUAUAUGGUUCGGCUCGGUGUUGUUUAUCGUUUGACGUUGUUAUAUUUUUCAAUGGAACAAUAUAUAUCGAACCAAUUGAAGUAUUAUUUGUUUUUUAAACGGAAAUUACCUCAAAUAACUUCGAAAACUAGUAACUUUACUACACUAACACCUAGGUGAGCUCUCUUUACUGAACAAACCCAUGUUUUUUGGUUAAACUCUUGUAGACCCUUUUGGAUUCUUUUUAUUACGGAUUAUGCCAUUAUCGAAUUAAUUCAUGUAAUUUAUUUCAUUUGACUAAACGUGUGAAUUAAACAAAUAAUUAAGUAAUGCAAACAUAAUUUCUUUCUUCAUUGCUCUCUUCGUCUUCUCUCUCGUUCUUGCGACGGCGACUCUGAGAUUAGGGUUUUUUAGUGCGGCUGCGAAGGUGAAGUUCUCCGGUGGAAUCGUCCAUCGAUAGUCGUUGUCGGGAGAAUUCCGGUGGCGUUUUAGGGUCCGUUCGUCUUUGCUGGUCGAGAGUGAGCCGAAAAUCGGCGGUUUGUUAUCUCGGGUUUCGUAGUUGCAUUUCGCCGGUGAGGAAGGUAAUUCCGACAACCCCAAAUUGAUUUGUUGUUUAUAUUCAUAGAUUUUCAGGCGUUGUUUUAUAGUUUAGAGUGAGAUUUUUGUUAAACAUGGGUUUGCUUACAGAUUUGAAAUUUUGUAAAAACGUAUGUCUGAGAUUUUGUAAUAUUUUCAUAUCCUUGAAACCCUUAUAUGUGGUUAAUAUUUUCCGGGGUCUGGAGAUGCAUUCUGAAGAAGUGAUAUUGUUUUUGAAUUUGGCGCGUUAUCUUGAUGUCUGUUUUGAACUUUUAAUGGAAGAUUUGUUUAUAUUGUAAAGAAAAUAGUGGAAGAGUUUUGGUUUUAAUGAAUUGGUGGCUGAUUUGAUAUAGUUUUGGUUUUGGUUAUGGUUAUAUUUUGGGACAGAUUUGUCGACAGUUUUGGUUAUAUUGACGGAAGAUUUAUUAUCCAUAGAUCUUCUUAUGUGACAGUUUUAUGUAUGGUAUUGGAACAGUUUUGUUGUGCUAAAGCGGAAGAGUUAUCGGUUUUUACUGAAACUUGUUUUUUAUGCUUGCAGCUAUGGCGUCAUCUAGUGGGACUAAAGUUUAUCCUCCGCGCCUAUAUCCGGAAGGAAAAUCACCUCUGCAGAACCGAAGCAUGAAUCACUACUGCUUCCUCAACUUGUUUGGGAGGGUGAAAGAUGGAAUAGGUGCAGAUGUGUUUGAAAACAUCAAGGAGACUUCCCAGGUUGGAGUAAUAUUGAAGCUGGCAGACAUGGACUUUGUAUCGUCUUCAAACCUUCUUCACAACUUUCUUACGCGACAGCUGUCAAUAGAAAAUGGUCAUGAGAUUUGGAUUUUGAUAGGAGGUCAGCCCAUCAGGUUCUCUCUGCAUGAGUUUUCUGAUAUUACGGGGUUGAAUUGUGAUAGACUUGGGGAUGAUGAUGAGGCCGAAAUAGAUGACUCUGAGUUCUGGAAAGAGUUGAGAGUCAGUGGAGGUGGACCAAAAUUUAAACAUCUCGAAGCAUUGUUGUCUAGAUGUAGGACUUGGAGUUUUGAGAAGAGAAAGAUGAUUGGAUUGCUGUGUAUUCUAUCAAUAGGAAUCUUAGGAAUAUCUCAAAAUAGCAGAAUCCCCAUGAAGUAUGCGAAAAUGGUCUUGGAUUUGAAUGCAUUUGAGAGGUUUCCGUGGGGAAGGGUUGGAUUUGAAAGCAUCAUUAAUUCGAUAAAAAUAGUAUGCUUCGAGAAAACUAGCUAUGUAGUCCAUGGUUGUGUGCAUGCAUUGGUCAUAUGGGGAUAUGAGUCGCUGCCUUUCUUGGCCGAAAAAUUUGGUGAUAGGAAUGAAGCUGCAAAUGUGGUUCCUCUUCUCCGUUACAAAUCAAGUCGCAAGCGUUUUAAUUUUGACGCAUAUGUGUUGCAGGAAAAGCAAGAACACGGCAGGGUAAGUUUUAAUGUUAAACAUUUGAUUACAGUAGUUGAUUGUAUGAGUGAGAAAUUAUGUAAACAUUUAUCAUUGCUGUGUUUCAUUGUAGGUACGUGUAAGGCAUAUGGUGGACAAGGAAGAAGAAAAUCUUUUGCCAUCUUGGCCAGAUGAAAACAUGGAUUGUAGCCUUAAAAAUCUUGUAGGAGAUAUAAAGCAUGGUCGACUUGAUGUCAGUUUUUGGGAUGUACCGAGUGCUGAUAAGGGUACAAGUGAGAAAGCUAAGUCCGUGAGGUCAAAGAGUAAGAAGGGAAAUGACAGUGAUGAUGAUUUCGUGGACAAGGUUCCACAGAAGAAAAGGGUUGUGCAGGAGAAGAAGAACAAAAGAAAUGAUGAAGAAGAAGCCGCAAGAAAAGAUGGGAAGAAGAUCCGGAGAAGUAAAGGGAAAGAGAUAGUGAGUGAGGAGGAGACAGAGGACGAUUCGGAUGUUAGCGUAGAAGCCGUGAAGAAAAAAAAGAAGGGCCAUAAAGCUGAAACUGGGGUCAAUAGCGCCUUUGAGAGAGAACUUUGGUCCUCUGGAUUAGUGUCUAUGAUUGAGACUUUGAGUUCUAAGGUGGACGCUAUAGACAACAAAUUCUCCUCAAAGUUUGAUCAGUUUGAUUCAAAGUUUGCGUCCUUGGAUCAGAAGAUUCGGAUUGUUGAGAGCGAUGUGACGAGGAUGAAGCAAGCUCGAGCAGAAGAUGUUGCUGAUGCUGCUGAGGACGGUAAGUCUGCUACCAGAAAUGGUGAUGAUGUGGGUGAUGAGAAUAACGAGCAGGUAAGUGUUUUCUAACAAACCCUGCAAUCUCAUUGAUUAUUAAUAAGAAAGACCAAUCUGUACUCAUGAAGUUGACUUUUUUUGGCAGAACGAAACUUAGCGGUUACCGGAGAAUUUGAACCAUGCUAGAGACAUCUGAUGAAUCGAAUGAAUGGAUUGCAAAUGAUUUUUCCCCUUUUUUCUUUUGUUUUUUCUUUGUUUUGUCUUCUUUUCGGAUUUGGCCUUUUUCUCAGUGUUAUGUUCGUUUUGUUUCUUUUCGGAUUCUUGGUUUUGGGUGUUUGAUUUUAUCUUCUGUUAACAUAAAUAAAGGGAAAUAAACUUAGUACUUCGUUUGAAAUUGUAUAGUAGUAGUUAUGAUUUUUAGUAGUAGUUUGGCUGAUAUAUAUUAUAAAUCUGUCAAUAUUUCAGCAGUCAUGGGUACUUAAGAUGAAGGACACAUCUGAAGAUUCAUUUCAGGUAGCUUGCUUGGUUAGGAAUCCAAAAGCUACCACUACAACUCCCCGAGAAAUAAAGAAAGAACCAGAAGAAAAGACUCCAAAAUCAGGGAAAGCGUGUGGCUCUUUGAAGAAAAAAGAGCCAAAAGAUACUGUGGAUUCAAAGAAAAAUGAGUUGCCUGCAGUAAAUCUAUCUGAGGGUUCAGAAUCGUUUGGAGAAGAGCCGAAGAGAUUUGGCGUAGCAUUGGAUAAAUUGCUGGCUCUGUCAAAGCGUGAUGAUUGUGUCAUGAGGGAAGCUAGCGCUGACAUAGAUAAGCGACACAUCUCACUUGCAGCCUCACAAAGAAGCCCUUACAUUGGUAAUUCUGGUGUGAAACGCGUUAUGUUUGGCUGUCAUCCAUCAGAUGAUUCAUAUGAUCCAUUUGAGAAGGUUUUGGUCUCAAAGGUGGAGAAGCUAAUGGCGUUCCUCGAUCAUGAUAUGUACGUUUCUUCCAUCUCUAAAUGAAAUCAACUUUUUGUUUUGGGUUUAAUAUUAAAGUUUUACUACAACUUUUUGUAGGAAUAACCCAUUACCAAGUAGCAACGCAGAUUCUAAGUUUUAUCUUACCAUCAGGACUCCUAAAGAGCUUUGGCCGAAAACAGACAACGAAUUCGGGUGGCUAGGAGAUAUGGUAUGCAAGAUUUAUUGGAUGUACAUUGUUUCAUAUAUCAUCUUCCUCAGUUAGAAGACUUUAAUUCCUGUUGUUUUCUUUUGCAGCAUUUGUGCUCUGCAAUGCAUAUGCUGCGAAGAAGGUCUAUGAGAGAUCGUACUCCUUUUAGGACCGAUAGGAUUGCAUUCCUCGAUCCCUGGUUUGUGAGCCAAUGGUGUUUCGACUACAAGAACAACUUUGAGGGGAAAUAGAAGAAUUGGAUGUUUCUGGAGCUUAAUACAAAACGCGGCGUUUUACAAAUGUUUAUUAAACCACAGAGUUAUUUAACGACAGAGUUAUUCAGACAUAGAUUAAACGACAGAGUUAUAACACAUGUAAUAACAGUUUUAUGAGAAAGGAAAACAGUUUUACAAAUUCUUUAACAACAGUUUUAAUAUCAUACACACCAGAUCUAUCAGAACACGUAACAGAUUUAAUCAACGGGACAUGUAAGGCGAUUAUGCCCACCACCGUUGCAUUUCGAGCAAGUGUACACCUUCCGAGGUCGUUUUUUCUCCAUUGCGACAUCCAGAGCUGACUUUAUCCUACUUUUCUUUGGUCUUCCUGGCUGUUGCCGCACCGUAGGAGGGAGACACACCUUUCCACGGACGUUGUUUGGAACAGGUACCGAUCUAUCACAAGGCAUUACGGACUUCGCGUACCCAUUGCAUAAGUAAGUACUGCGAUAAUAUGGAUGAGCCAAAUCGAUCCGUGACAUCUUUGCAGCCUCUGCCGCAGCAAUUGCAUGAACGCAAGGGAUUUUGUCGAUGUCAAAACGACGACAAGUGCAUUUCUUUAGCAACAAAUUGACAACAUUCAGAGAAGACCCACAAGUAACUUGUGCUUGAUUGGCAUCAAUCUCCUAUACAGUGAGUUGUUUUGCCUGCUCGACACGCCCCUGCAAAAAACGAUUGUGGUAUACAUGACUUUCAAACCAAAGUAUAAUGCAGCAAAGUUAAAAAAGUUGAACAACUUACUUCUAACAACUUUUCAACCCCAGUUGUUAAAACAGUUUUCAUCUUUGCUGCAAAUUUCCUCUUAUAGGCAAACCACCUGGUCAACAUACAACGGAUUUCAUCUAGUAACAGACAUAUUGGAUAACCCCUUGCUGGUUUGAGAACCUUGUUCAUGCAUUCGGCAUUGUUAGUCGUCGUAAAGUUAUAUCUAUCUCCAGGGAAAUGAACCCGGGUCCAUUUACGCACAUCAGCUUGCUGUAAAUACACAUACAGCUCGGGGUUGACAGCUUCAAUUUGCUCAAACAGAAUAUUGAAAUCAGAAAGUUUGUAAGCACAUGCGGCCUUCUUAACCAGUCCAAAAGUAUCUGCACCUUUGAAUUUCAAAAGUAUAUUCUUGUGUAAAUGAUAUGUGCAGAUCCCUCGACUAGCAAGUGGGUACACUUUCGUUAUUGCCUGACCUAUUGAUCUAUGCCGGUCAGAUAUUAUAGCUAACCCGUGGUCAUCCGGAAUAACAAUGCUUAGCUGCCUAAAGAACCAUUCCCAUGAAUCGUGAUUUUCAGUAUCGACAAUGGCAAAAGCUACUGGAAAUAUUGUGAAAUUGCCAUCUUGCGCUGUUGCAAUAAGUAGUGUACCUUUAUAUUUCCCGUGGAGAAAUGUUCCAUCGACCACAACAACUUUCCGCAUAAAGGCAAAUCCUUCUAUGAUGGCUCCAAAUGCAAUGAAAACGUACUUAAAACAGUUUUCUGGAUCAACUUCUAGCUUCGUAAUUUGCUCUCCUUAUCCUAUACAGGUAUGUUGGAAGAUCAUCAUAACUGUUUUCUUCCGUGCCUCUUACCAACUCACGUGCGGUUUUAAGAGUCCGAUGAGCCUUCCAGUAAUCCAUCUGAAAAUGGUCAAUUAUAAACCUUAUAACUAGCUACUACAACACUCACAAUGAUCAAAAUAUUUCUUAUAACUCAUUUUUUGUUACCUUAAUACCAUAUCUUUUGUUAAGUGAAGCAGCCACAUGAUUAGGCAACACUGUCGCAUCAAUACCACCAACGAACUCUUUGUACAUGUGACCUAGUAUCUGGUGAGUUGCUUGUCGAGACCGAGAUGAACGCUCUGUAACUGAGAAACUAUGCUCCUUUACAUAUUUGCGCACGUAAAACUUCCCACUGUUGUCAAUCGGUGUAGCUCGAACUCUCCAUGUGCAACCUUCAACCCAGCAAUUAACAGUAUACAACGACCGCGUCGAUCGAUCAAUAUCAAAAUCAAAAUUAUGCAGCACUGACAGAAUUUGCAAUCUUUUCUGUAAAUCACAUUUACAGUCAUAUCGUUGCCCUACAGCCAAAUCAAGUGAAGCUAUUUCUAGUUGCUUAAACUCAUCAUCAACCUCAUGCAAGAUUUUCUCUUUUUCAAUUCCAUGAUUGAUUUCCUCUUCUCCACUGACGUCAACAGAGCUCCCAUACUUACUGUAGUUCUCAUCAUCUGAAGUAGCACCAUCGAUAUCAUCACAGCAGUCGAAUCUAUAUUCCUCAUCUUCAUCACCGAUGUCGUCGUCGACGCCUUCUUCAUUUUCUGGGUGGUCUAGACCUGGACCAAAUUUUCUUUCCUCCUUAUGUCCACCAACCCAAUUUGCAUCCUUCUUCUUUUCCUUCUUUACCGAAGACGCAUCGUAGAUCUCUUCCUCGCCGCCGUCGUCUUCCCUCUCUUUCAACUCGACACAUAGUUGAACUGGCUCAGCUUUCCUUAACUUCAGAUAUCCAAGCAGUUGCCUUGAAUUAUUGAUGAAAGCAGGCGGCGUAUCUACAGGUAAUUUUACCAACAUCUUCUUCGACAAGAGAUAUGACAAUUCAACAACAUAGAGCCGCUUAUCUAUCUCGUAAUCCUCAUACACCAUCUGUAUGAAUUCCUCGAAGGUGGUUCUCACAUUUAGAUCUAAAACUCUACAUCCCUUUUUCUCAUCGACGCCGAAAACCCAUCUACUCUCUUCUGUUUUCCAUUUCCCGCAAACUAAUAUGAUUUCUUCCUUUUCCAUGAAGUCAGUCGUUUUCAGUGGACAAAGAAAGACUGAUUUCGUACACACCAGCACAGAGGAAGAAGAUGGAGAACCAGAUCUGCGAUGAAACCAAGAAGGAGAUGAAGGACAAAAUUGUCAUUUUGCCAUACAACGUAACUCUGCCAUUAAAACACCAGUCAAGUCUACCACAACAGGAAUUCGAUCAUAACUAAUGAACACCCACCAAUCGAAUCAAACAGCUAUUUAAAGCUGUUAAAUCAUUUUUUUCAUCUCACUUUAAUGGUAACGUAAUUAACGUCAUAACAAUAGAUGUUAGGGUUGAUAUAACAUCAUAUUAAGCAUUAAAUCACAAUUAGCAAGUGACAGAUUUAAUAAAUCUUUCAUUUCAAAUCUGUCAACACAGGAUGGGUUAUUCUAGUAAAUUAUAACUAUGUUGUAACGUCAGGUAAAUACGUCUAUCGUAAUGUACUUUUCAACGCCAAAUCUACCAUCACGUACCAAUAAGUCUGGCAUGUCGUUAUUAUAAAUCUUUCACCAUUAAAGUGCUACUUGAGUAAUUAUAAAGAUGCGAACAACUCUGUCGUUACAAGUCAAUAACUUUGUCGUAAGUACGUAACUCUGUUAUAUCGUAAAAUGUCCUAACGUAAGUCUAUCGCCUCGUAUAGGUUAGUCUAGUAAUUUAAUUUCCUUUUAUAUCUCUGACGCCAAGCAAAAAUAAAUCUAUCAUGAUACAUUAAAUCUGUCAUCACUUUCCGACAAAUCUACCAAGAAAAGUCUGCCAAAUAAAUCUAUCAAACCAGUUUAAAUCUGUUACCAUAGUAAAUAAAUCUAACUAAAUAAGCCUGCCGUGGAAAAGUCUGCCAAAUAAAUCUGUCACACAAAAUAACUCUGGCACUAUAGUCACCUAUAACUCUGUCGGCCAUGAUUAACUCUGUCGCACCAACAAAUCUAUCAUCAUUAGUCCGACAGAUUUGCAUUUUGAAUCAAACAACUCUACCGUGGCACAAAUCGUAAUUAAACGCUGGGUAAAUCGUAAAUAAAUCGAAGUUUUGCUGACGUGGCAGCGAAAUAGUAAUGGCAUUUCCGUUAUUUCAUUUUUCCUAACAAACGUCUUUAGGGUUAUAAUUGGGAUUUUUUUAAUUUUUAAGUUAUUCUAGUAAUAAUUGAACUUGUUAUGCUAAAAAAAUAAAUAUUGCCCGAAUCUGGGUUGUUUUAGCUACUCACCCUUUUUUAAAAUACAGUUUCGUUUGGUUAAUUGUUUUUGGUUUUUAUGUAGAAGUGUUAUGUUUGAUAUGGCCCAUUUAUGAUAGAAACUAGAUAGAAGUUCAUAUUUAGGUAUAAUGACCUGUUUGUAUUUGCAACUUUUUAUAUUUGUAUUUAUUUUGAUCGAGUAUAUACGGACCAAUUUUACUUUUAUAUAUAUCAAACUGGUAGUUUACGAUGACGUGUAUGAGAUAAAUCAGUCUCGAACAGAUUGGAUUGUAAGUAGUUCAGACAGUGGAUUUUGUAAGGUACACUUAUGGUACUGUUGUCUGACACAAAUGUUUAGUUAUGAUACACUAUAGUUAUAAAAAACUAUUUUAUUUAAUGUUUUAGGCUUUACAACUAGCGAAUAAUAGUAUCAUAAUUGUACCAUAAAGACUGUGUUGAAUCAAUUGUCUUAUAUAUAAUUAGACUUGACUUUUGAAAAACUAUAUUCAUCUAUUAUUGUUUAAAAUCGAUAUUCUUGAUUGGAAAAUAGUUGAAAGCGAUAAAACAUUCAGCUAACAAGAUAUUACUUUAAGAACCUCACAAAUUAAUAAUUAAUCCAUGCGCAAAAUACAGCUAUAUAACAACCUUGAUUGCAUCUAAAAGAAACAUAUUGUCUAUUUACUUUAGUGCAUGCACUCAAACCUACCAUCUUAAUGUGUUAGACCUAUAUCCUACAGCAAGCAGAUUUCAUUUCAUGUAAGUGAAUUAUCACAUCAAUAAAUUUUUUGGUUGCAUGCACUAAAGUAAAUAGACAGUAUGUUAUUUUAGACUAACCAUCAUGAUUUACCAAAGGAUAUUUACGUAUCGCACUUAUAUUAUCCAUAAUACAUGAUAUAUCAAAUCAAAAAUAUAGCAAACUAAUUGUUAAGUAAUCGCAUUACUUAUCGUUUAAGACAAUAUAUAGUAUAUUCAGUUGUUCAUAUUUUUGCCAGAUAAUAUUUUUAAAAAAAUAUUGUAUUAUUCUGACAAUUUGCUUAUAUAAAAUGUAGUAUAUAUAUUGACAUGAAUUAAGACAUAAAAAUAUAGUAUACAUUCAUUGUAUAUAAACGUUCUUAACUGCACCGAUUUUAAUAAUUACAGUAUUUAUUUAGUAAGAAAAUUGAACCGCUUCAAAAUUUAUUAUGAAGUAGUGCACCUUUUACUGUUGACGACGAUUCUAUUUUUUUGUCUUCUAUAUAUAACCCGUCUUCAUAACUGAUAAUCAAUCCUGCAUUCUAAGAUAUUUUGUUAGAAAAAAAUAAAAUCUCAACGAUUUAAGGUCUCUAACAAUGUCUUACUAUGACUUGGUUAGUCAACUCACACCAUGGCAAGAUAACUCUGUGAUACGUGUUCUGAUUUACAAGAAGUGGUUUGAGAAAGACAGCCGUGGUCGGGAUUGUGUGGAAUUCAUCUUAUGCGAUGAAGAGGUAAAUAAUAUUAGAUUUAUGUUAUCUCGGUUUUUUAGUAUUUAUUAAUUUUUAUCCAUAACAGUUAAAAAUUGUUUCUUUAAAUAUAUCGUUUUUAGGGAUGCAAAAUUCAUGCUGCUGCUUAUAACUGUAUCCAUGAAUAUUUUCGAAAAGAAUGUCACGAAGGAGAUUGCUUUGAGUUUCGUAAUUUUAUUGUGAAAUAUACUGACUGGAACAAUUGGAACGAGUGUCCAACUACUCAUAAUUACAAUAUUAUUUUUACGGCGAAUACCAUGCUUUACAAGCUACCAGAAGCGAUAUCUACAUCGGCUUUCUUGAACUUAAUCAAAUUUGAAGAUAUUUUGAAGAAGAAAGUCGAUCCUGUGUUUCCUAUUGGUAAUAUUUACUUUCCUGUUUAAGAUAUUUACAAUGACUGUUUUCUCUAAUAUUUAGUCCAUUAUUCGUUAUGUCUCAUAAACGUUUUUUUUUAAUAGAUUUAGUUGGUGUGAUCCAUUAUGUUGGUGAAAGUUCAAUGGACAAUGAAAUUGAGUCCACUUCAAGAAUCCAUCCAACAAAACGUUCAGAAUUUCAUAUAAGAGAUCUCGAGUAAUUAUCUUUUUAUAUUUUAAGAUUGUUUUAUUUUUUAAGUAUUCAUAGUUUUUUUGUUACUUGUAUACAUAGGACGUCGUUAUCAAGUGUUUUGCAUUUGAUCAAUUUGCAAGUUGUUUCGAUAAUACGUGGAAAUCAAGAAAGUCUGAUCGUGUUUUUGUUCUAUUAACUGAGUGGAGACUUGGUGUCUAUAAAGGUUAGUAACCACAUGUAAAUUAAAUUUGUAUUUGUUUCUGAAAUGCUGGGCUUUCAAGUUAUCAUACCAAAUGAAUGUAAUACAAAUUAAUGGGAUUUUAUUGUUUAAAAUCUGUAAAAUUAUAAAUAAUUUUGCUUUCUAUAUUAUAUAUACACUUAGCAAACUUUUAAAAAAAAUUAGAAAAAACGUUUAAUUAAAAGAGAAUAAAGAAAUGAUUUAAUUAAAUUAAACCAGAAUUAAAAUGCUAGAUCUGCUUGCUAGGGUUUAGAUUGUUAGGACAUGGAACUCUGUUGACUGAGUAUUGAUGAUUGCUGGUUGCUGGUAGAAUGUUAUACAAGGAAUCCGAAAAAGGAUCUAAAGCUAUGGAACCCUAAAACAUAGAUUAUUUGUAUCUGGUCUGAAUCUAUCUGUUUUUGUACAACUUAGUUUGUGUAAUAUAGAACUCUUAGGUCUCCAACUUAUCCUUGUGUGGUUUGUCAGUGUUGUUUGAUGGCUGUAAGGAUGUCUGUGUGACCAGACCUUCAGUCAGCGGGGGGAGGGGGGGGGCGGCGAGCCCCAAUGAUUGGUCGGUGGACCUGUACCAUGUCUGUGGUGACUGCUGGUGCCAUGUCUGUGGUGACAUAAGAUCCGUUUCUAUGGUGAUUGGGCUGAAUGGCCUUGUCUAGUGGUAGAGUGGUGGAGUGGUGGAGUGGUGCACUUCUCAUGGAUUCAGGGCUGUUCCGAUUUGCCUUUCCGGGGAGGCUGAGUUGAACUCACCGAUCUGGUUUCGGCCAGGGUCCUUUUUUGAUAGUUGCUUGUAAGGUUACCCUUGUUUGUUAGCUUGUUAUUCAUGUUUGUUUGAUGGUUUUUUGGGUCUCCGUAAAGCCCAUUCUUGCUGAGUAAUCCCAAAUUACUCACUCAUUCUUCUUCUUUGUUUUAUUUUCAUGUAUAAUAGAUUAGCCAUGUCUAUGUUGUUGAUUGUUACCUGGGCGUUUUCGAAUCUAGUAAACUUGAAGCUCACCGAGGAACUAUGGUCCUAACAUGUCCGAUUCUCCGGUUUUCUAAGAAUUCUGGGAUAGAGAUGUUACAGUAUCCAUACAAAUAAAGUAUUUGGGAUAUCAAGAGCCUGCCCAAAACCUUAGUAAAUACUUAUUAUCCGCCUAUUCUAUAAUUUGUUUCUCUUUAAUGUUUGAAAUGGUCAUCAAAAACAAUAUUUAUUGGGCUUUAAUAAUCCAAAAGUUAAUUAAAAAAAAAAGAGGUAAGAGAUAAGGGAAUAUUCGAUGUGCGAGAUAUUAUGUUACUAGUUCUUUAACACUCAAUUGGGCAUGUGCAAAUAUGAGGUUUUGCUCAGUUCAAGAAAAUAGUUUUUAUCCCAGCAUAACUAAAGAAAAUAAAUUUAUAUUUGAUCUGGUUAACGGGUCAAACCAAACCAGGUAACUGAUUAUUUUUGGAGUGAUGAUCUAUUUUCCUAUAAGAAUUAUCAUAUAGCAUCAGAUCCCCAUCAAACUAUGAUCUAGUUUCAGAUCUACACGAAUUCAAAGUUUAAGAUCUAAAUCUCCUUGACCUAAAAUUUCGAAACUUAUUUCCCUACAAAUUCAAAGUUCAAAACCUCAAAUCCCACAAAAAUUGGUUUUAGAUGGUUUACUAUUUUCUAACCAAACUUAAACCAUGUAUAACCUAUUGUAAACCGAUUUGUGACCCGAUUACUAAAAUAAUCCAAAAAUUUUCCAAACCUAAACCAAUUUCUUCUUCUCCCGUCAAUUUCUCCAUCGUCUUCUACUUCCACCUCUCUCGCUGUAACACAGAUUCAAACUGAUUUCUCCAUCCUCUUCUACGAUUUGAUUUUGUUGGGUUUGUUGUUAGAAAAAAGAUAAGCCUUGGGAAUCAGAGUGGUGACGUGACAUUAGGCAAAUGACAACAAGAAACUUCGGUUCCUUCAAUCUAAUUAACUAUAUGCUGUUUCUGCAAAUUUCUCAAUUUUCAAGAAUUAGUGGAUGCCUAAUUGAAUUAUGUACUGUCUAAUUUUUAGUAAAACAUGUGAAUCACCAUUGAUGGACUUCAGAUGAGACAUAUUAGGCUUCAUUCUUUCUAGUCAUCGUUGAAUUCAAUAUCUAAACUGAUAAUUUUUCGUCAUCAUCAUGCUCAUUUCGUUUGCUUAAAUUCAAAUCAUCGAAAACCAUGUUAUGAUUCAGCAAUAUUGAAAUUGAGAUUUUAAAAUGAUAAAAUACGGGCUGGGCGAAGCAGGGGUUUCAAUUCUCGAAGCAGCUUGUAAUCGUAACACUAGAUUGUUCAACAUCGACCUCUGAUUUGGAGAAUUGGAUUCCUUUACCCUUUUUAUGAGAAUUAUAGAUUAUAAUAAUUGAAAAUCGAUUUUAGGGUUCAUAUUCAAAUUUUUGAUUUGGAAUUUUCAUACUUAAUUGGGGAUUUUAAAAUGAUGAUAUAUGGGUAAGGUUCAGGUUAAGUUUUUUUAUUUAGUUUUGUGGUUUAGCGGUUAGCUCUUGGAUUUAGAUCACAAACCGUAGAAAUCCACAUUUUUGGGGAAAUAAGUUUCAAAAUUUUAAAUUGGGAAAUUUAGAUUUUAAACUUUGAUUUUAUGUGGAUUUGAAUCGAGGUCAUAGUGCUGGAAAUCUGAUGUUAUAUGAUAGUUUUUGUGGAAAAAUAGAUAGUCUACCCAUUAUUUUUUCUAUUAUUUUGUAUUUGUCUUGUAUUUGUAAGUAAUUUGUAUAAACUACUUUGUACCUGGUUUGAUAAAGACAACUUUACCCGUUUUUGCGGGACAAAUACGGGCCAAAUAGACAAUUAGAUUUUACGGGCGUGUAUCAACUAUCAAAUAAUUGUGCGAAGCCCUAAUAUGGAUGCUACUUUACCAAAAAGACAAUUAGAUUUUAACUUUCACACACUCAGGAAAAAAGGCCAUUGCCCCAAUGUUAUUUACGUGACUGAGCAAUCACACAUAUUCACACGCACAAAUAUAUCGAGAUAUUUACAAACAGGAAAAGUACACAUACACAAGCAGCUUUCUCGAUAGAGAUACAUGCAACGGACUCGGUUGAAUGUUAUCCUGACAUACACAAUACAAUCAACCGAUUUGAUCCGUCACCUUUUAUUUUAUUUUUUAUGUAUGAAAAUUAUUUUUUUUUAUAAAGUUUUUCUUUUGGUAUGAACUUGCAAGAUAUUUAAACACACACCAUGACAUGCAAAUUAUUAAACAUUAGCUAGAUAAGUUCCUCAAGAGGUAUUUACUCUUGUCUUUUUGAUCGAGCUGAUUAAUGUGAAUCAGAGAUACUCAGUUGUUGGAGAUACGAAAGAACUCAACACCGAGAUAUAUCUCAUCGUCUACCAGAAAUCCCCUCGAAAUGUUGUUGAGUUCCUCUAGUGGCAACAACAGGGGUUGCCCCACCGUGCUAUCAUCGAGAAACAAAUGUUCGUCCUCUUUAUCAACCAAAUGGAAAUUAAAAUUAGCAAAAGGCUUAUGUUGUUAGGCAUAUAUGUGAUAAGCUUAAUAAACAAAUCAAAAAGAGAGAAGUUAAGUAUAUAUACUAAUCUCAUAGUGAUUGCGUUUGAGUUGGUCGUAUAUUCGUAGUUUAUAAAUGGCCAUUGUUUUUGUCUUUGGACCGUUUGUCAUGUAGUCGGAUGCAUUCAAAUAGAACGAAAAAGAGUUUCCUUCCCCGAUGCCGUCUCCUCUUGGGUACAUCACUAGAUUCCUGGUUGAGAAGGAAAAUACAUGUUUGUGUAUUAGAUAAAUUUCACUACAUUAAUGAUGUGUACUAUCUCCCUUUUAUGUUUUGCAUUGUUUUGUUAUUUCAAUGUAAAACACUACUUCAUUUUCUAAACUUACCCCUACAGUAUUGUAUUUUUAUUUGAAAGAUAAAUUUAUAAAGUAGCUACAAUUGAGUCCUUUUAGUGAGUCCUUAAUUUGUGUAUGUUCGACCAAAACAUAUUAUAAACUGAAGCAGAAAAAGUAUAUAAUUUGCUCAUUUUCAUACCAUUUCCGUGGUCCAACGGUGAACUCAUGCGACGAGUGCUGUUUACCAUUGAAGGAGGAAAACAUCAUUAUCUUCCAGGUGAAUCUGGAGUUGUUCCCAGGCAUCUCGAUCACUUUAAGAGAUACGAGUACCAAAAAAAGGAAAACUCUAAUAGUAAGGAACUGAAUAAUAUAAUUGUUUCCUUAAUAAAACAAUGACAACAAAACAUUGGAGUAAAGCAAAAAUUGGAUAAAAGAUAUUUAUAUGGUACUCAUGGAAUUAGAAAAUGAGCCAAAGUGAAAGAGUAACGUGAUGAGGAUUUGAAGUGUUGUUGAGGAUCUAAACCAUUAUAUAUACCACUUUCAGCUUAAGAAGAUUUAACUUAAAUUAAUCAGAUUAUAGAUAUUUAUAAGUAUCAUCUGACUCCAUACCUUCGCAUAUGCUUCCGUCCGUGAUUGGAGGGUUUGAUAUGAAUGUGACUUUUUCUUGUUUUUCGGCCGGCUUUACGACGAAGAUCUCAGCACCAAAAGAACAACUGUCAUGCAGAAUGUAACCUUCGUUUGUGUUGCAAAAUGUUGGAAGAUGAAUGAAUUUUCCAAAUCCCCACUCUUUUUUCGCUUCAUUGAAUUUUUUCACUUUUCCAUCUGUAACCCAGGCCCCACGAUUAGGUAUAAGUUUACGAUCAGAUUUAUUAAAAAAUCAGACUAAUCUCCAAGAUCUACAACCGCCAAGUAUAUGUAUCAGUGGUUCAAAUUAAUCGCGGUCUCUACUAAUAUCUAUAAAAUGUUUCAUAUAUCUAUAAAAUAAAAGAAAAUUUCUAUAACGAUAAACCAACUAAGUUUCUAUUACCAUUUUGAUACACUAAUUUUUUUGCAUGCCCAAAAAACAAUACACUAACUACUUUGUUUCUAUUUUAAUUCACGGACUCGUUGUGUAAAAAUUUUACGACCUAACACUAUAGUAAGGUCUUCCGACACAAACUUAUUUCAGGGUCUUCAACAAAGAACACUUUUCAAAAUCCAUCAAUCCGAUGCUCUUCUUCAUGAGGUCGCAAAUAGUUAUAUUGUAUGAUUGUUUUUAUUUUUAGUUUAAACUCGUGCUAUGUUAUAAAAUGGUUAAGAGUCGUACUAUGAUGAAUUACAAAAAAAAAAAAAAAAAAUAGAUAGUGUAUUGUUCUGGGUAUGAAAAAAGUUGGUGUACUAAAAUGGUAACAGAAAAUUGAGUUGGUUACUGAAUUUUCCCUAAAACAAAUAUUUCAACAAAAAAAAUAUUUAUAAAAUGUAAUGGAUCUAGUAAAAUCCAUAUACAUAUCUAAAGUGUGGAUGAUGCUGAGGAUAACCUGUAACAGUUAAGUACUUCUGUUUCUUCUUAUUCUCCACAAAGAGUUUGAGAUCAACAUUGACUUCCCAACCUUUGGGAAGUAACUUUGUAUCUUCGAUCUUCACGUAAAGUGAUAUAUAAUUAUUGCCUCCGUCUUUUUUAUUACCAGUCACGUACAAAAUCAUUCUCCUGAUUUUUUGUUUUGUUUUCACCAUUAAAAUGAUCUCAAAAAUCAUGAAAAGUAUUCCAUAUAAGUUUCAAAAAGAGUUUUAACUUUUAAUUGGAAAGAGUAUACGAUCUUUACCAUUUGUAACCAACAGCCUCAAAAACAGAUGAUUCGUAGGGUUCAUUUCUCUCCUUUAUUACGGAGAAACCUGCUAUUGUCACUAUCUUACUGGAUGGUCGCUCUUCUCUCAACAUUCUUUUCAAUCCUGUCAACAAAUGUUUCUAGGAAAAUCAACAAAAAAGAGGUUUCCGUCUUUCACCUUAAAAAUACAAAGAAAAUUAAUGAUUUCAGAUUUAGACAAAAAAAAGGAUUUCAGACAGCAAGCAGUACCAAGAUUCACCCCGAGGCUGUAAGAACUGUUAUACUCUGUAGUCUGUACGACAGUACGUAUGCCCACUUUCAGUAUUUAUCAUACACGUUGCAAAAGUAAAAUACUGAAAGUGGGUUCGUCGUGAAAAAGAGAAACAAAAAGACAAGAAUUCUUUGCUUAGAUCAAGAAAAGAAUAUGUUAAUACUCAGUCGUUAUUAUGAUUUACUUGAUUGAAUAUGUAAAGUAUCAAUUCGAUUUUAAAAUCAAAUCGAUCUGCUCAAACCGAUGUAUUGGAGAAAAUUACUCUCACAUCGGAAAAUAUAAGAUGAUUAUUGACAAAAUGGCAUAAGAAAAUUUGACAUAGUACGUACGUUAUUUUUUUCUUUUUGAUUAAUAUUAUUUUACUUAGCAACCUCGAAAAUUAGAAAUGAUUUACAAUAUUGAAAUCGAGCAAAAUAAUCAGAUAAACCAAAUCAAAUGAGAUGAGCCGAUUAUACUGUUCGCCGGCGGAGAGACUGUCCCAAACCUCUACGUUUAAUUGAUUGAUAAUUUUUUUUUUUACAUUACAUUAAAUUGGUUAGUACAUGUUUUAUAAGCGUAUUGUAUCCUGGAUUUCAGUAUUAUAACAAACAUUGUUAUGAAUAGAAUAUCUAAGUGCCCAUCUUCUCUAUUAAAAACAGAAGCAUGUUUUGUUUUAUUAUUUUUAGUUUUCUACUAUUUUACUUAUGGAUAUCUACUAUUUCUGUUGCUAAACAAAAAUUUAAUUUUUUUAUUUAUCUGUUUUAUUUAUUUCCAAAAAUUAAUUAUUCUCGAUUUCUUUAUUCUCUUGCCAAACAAAAAUGAAUAAAUUUAGUUAAAAUUAAAGUCAAUAAAAAGUUUUAGAAUAUUUUCUGUUUCCUUAUUCUCUUAGUUCAGUUUGUUCCCCAAAUCUUUGUAAACAUAUAUAUAAUAUAUAUAUAUAUAUAUACGUUUUAUUAUUUAUAUAACAAUUGCUUCUCUCUUCUUUUUUUUUUUUAUUGACAAUAUUUAGCAAAAUAAUCUAUCUAUCAAUCUAUUCUUACACCAAAAACGUAAGAUUUAAUUUUUGUCUAUGUAUAUUCUUGUUUAUUACGGGAUGAUAAGAAAUACAUUUUUCUGAAUCAAUCGUUAUAGUAUGUCUCUACGAUCAUAAUCAUAUUGUACAUUAUAUCUCGUCAGAUCAUAUUUAUAUAAAAAGAAUGAGAUUGAUGUUACUGAUGAGAUGUUAUCAAUGCUUAUCUAGAAUAAUAAAGAUAUGAUCUUUGUAUCUCUAAUGGAUUUUUUGAAAUUUAUUUGAUAUUUAGAUCGAGAUCUUGUUAUAUUAAGCAUUAGAUUUUUUGUGAUAGCUAUUUAAUUAACCUAGUUAUUCUUUGACAAAGCUACUUUUGUUUACUUGUUCGAUAUUUCUAUAUUAUGUUUGAUAAUAAUUGUUAACCGCAUAUGAGAAGUGAUUCAUUAUCAAUCGGUUGAAUUUAUAUUAAUAAAUAUGACUCAUGCUUACAAUUAUCAAAGUCUAAUUCAUCGUUUAUUGUUUGUUCGCCAUGGCUGUGAUGCUACAUUGUUAUUACCAAUAAGCUUUCUCAGCACACAUGCAUGACACACGUACACAUGUUGUUGAUAGUCAUUAGUUAAUUAGAAAUUGUCUGUAUUGAAAAAAUGAAGCAUGUUCAUUAAGAGAAUCGUUGGUUUGAUUUUAUUGCUUCGUUAUUGCUUUAUCGUUUGAUACUAGGUACUAACCUGCGUUGCGUUCUGUACAGGGUGAAAUUUAUCUAAAUAUGUUUUGGAAAAUUUAUCUUUUAAAAUCAUAAGAUUAAAAAUUAAUUUAAUUUUAGUGUAAAUUAUAUAAUAGUUGUGAUGACAUAUAUUUUUCCAAUUUUUUAUUCUUCAUAAAUUAUUAAAUCAUAUAAUCAUAUUAUAUAUUCAUAUGUCAUCUAAAUUAAUUAAAUAGUAACAUCUACUUGAUUUGUUGUAAAAAAUAAUUAUACAAUAUCAUCGAAAAAUUAUUACCAGUAAUUUUACUGUAAAUCGUUACAUUAUUUUAGGGAUAAAGUAGACAUACCACAAUAAAAUUAAACAAAAAAGAUAGUAAUAAUAGUUUUUGGUGAUAUAAUCAUGGUUGAUAUUAAAACCAGAAUUAUUAUUUAUAAAAAAAAAAUCAUGAAUCAUAUAACAUAUUUAGGUUAUAUUAUUUCUGGUAAAUAUUUGACAGCUGUGAUAUUAUGAGCUUUUAUUUUUUAAAAGUCAAUGUAUAACAUGACACAUGUCUAUUCUAAAUAUAUAAAUUAAUUAAUACAAGUAAGAUAAGAGUAUGUAAAUGACAUAUUUAUAAUUAAUCUAGUAAGUUGAACCUGUUUUCAAAAAAAUCUUUGAGAAGUUUUCUGAGAUUGACACCUUAUCAUGGCAUUCAUGUAAAUAAUACAUAGGAUAAAAGUUUUUUUUUUAAGUUUCUUUAUCAAUUAAUAAUAUAAAAUAUUAUAUGUUAGUCUAAUUGUUUGGUAUAGCUGAUAGAAAAGAAUUAUGUUUAUCCAAUAUAAACAGUGUGAUGUUGAACCUGCUUUUAUUAAUGUAUAUAUUUUAAUUGAUUGGCAGAACGGUGAAUAAUUAGAUGUAUAUAUUUUUUUUUAUAGAAAUAUUUUAUAGAUUUAUUCAUAUGCAGUGUUUAGGAAAUUUUUAGUUCUCUUUGUGGGUAAGUUUUCUGCAAAACUAGCAAACACGUGAAGGCCUAGAAAACACGAUAGAAUGGUGUUUUCCGAUGGCUCUAAACCGUUCAAGUCCGUAAACGGUAACGAAAAGACCACAAAGUGGCAAAUCGGAGAGAGAAAAGAUGUCGAAAAAUAAGAGAAGAAAAAACGGGCUGAGAGCUCUGGAGAAAUAUAAAAUCUACUUGGGCCUGAGUUCAGUGGGCUUUUUUGGUAUAAAAGAGAAGAAAUGUAAGAGUUUAACGGUGGAAAUGCUCCACGGUCUAGGAAUUGCCAUGGAGUGGAAGUGAAGUGAUGAGAUGGUCAGAAUAAUGACUGGAAAAGAGAGUGGUACAGCUUAAGGUUCACAAAUAUCUAGAAAGAUAGCAUGAGCCUUAAGAUUGCGAAAGAAUUGAAUCUCUUUUCUUGUUAGAAAGGGUUAAGUAUUUAUAAGAUUUUAUCUGACUCAGAUUAGUAUAUUGGGUCGGUCCAUGGGUCAUGGGCUUUGCGGGUCAGUUCGGAAUCAGACUUGCUUAGGUCCGAAUCUUAUAUUUGCAUAAUGUUUCUGACGGACUCACCAACUUUCCUUGGCGUGUUUCCUGCUGCGAGACCGUUCCUUGGCGCGUCCUUCUCAUCUUCAGCGUACGAGUUAGGUACAGCGGUUCAGACGUGGUAUGGUCUUCACUGAACCUCUGCUUUUCCUCUGCAUUCUGCGAAUGGUCAUUGUCACAUGUAAGCAUUGUGCAUUAAAUGCCAAUCUCAUAGGUUUGUAAAGGGUAUGAGCAACCAAAUCAGUCCAGUUAUAUUUUUCUGCUUCAUGCAUUAUUCAUACAUGGCCCGGAUUCCUUGAUAGCAUAGCGCAUUAAAUACCUUAAAGCAUAGUGCAUUAAAUACCUUUAGGUUUAUACAGUAUUUCCCGCUUUAUGAAUUAUUCAUACCUGGUCCGGAUUCCUUGAUAAGGUUAUAUUUCCUUAUAUCCCGACUCUUCCAGAUCACUGAGCUUAAGUCUAGGACAUAGAAAGAGUAACAUUUCCUCCUCCUGACCAUUCAAUUCUUGACCUCUUUUUCUCUGAUACCGUGGCCUGCACUGUCAGAUACGAGGAACCCGAGAACAAGUGGCCUUCUGUGCCGAAUCUCCCAAAUUCGAAGGAUCUAAGGCUCGGUGCUAUAUGCUUAGAUUGUAUUAAUUAGACCGUACGUCCAAUACGAAUUUGACCCAUGGGGCCGUACCUGCAAAAAAAACAUGGACGCUACGUGCAAACACGCUGCUCGUCCACGUAGGAAGGAUAAAAUCUAACCCCAACAUACAGUAUAUUAUAUUUAUAAUAUAAUUUUUUUAAAAAAAAAUUCAUAUUUCAUCAUAUUUAUUAUAUAUCACUUAAUUAUAAUAGUAUUUUUAAAAUAGUAAAUAUCAGUAUUUAAAACGUAUAGUUUACACUUUAAUAUAAACAUAAUUUUUAUAUUAAUUUAACAAAAUAAAUUAAUAAAAUAUAUUUUAAAAAAUUAUUUUGAAUCACUGAAAUAUUUUUAAACCUAAAGUUUUUGAAAAACUCCAUGUAAGAACAUAGAGGAAUGAGCAUUUAAGAGAGCAUUUGCAUCUUCUAAAUGUUUUUUUUAAAUACUCUGUGAACAAAAGUUGAUUGGAUAAUUAAAAGAUCUUGUUUAGCUGGUUUAGAAAAUUGCUGGUAUGAAUUAUGAUGUAUAAUACGUGAAUGCUUAUUGUCUUACAAUCUUAAAUGUAGUGAUAUGUCUAGUAACGAAGGAACUACCAAAAUCUUAUAGAUUUAAAUCGGAAAAAGGAGUUGACUCUGUUGUGGAGUUUCGGUAUCCAUGGCUUCCACCAAAAUGUGAUACUUGCUCUAAAUGGGCGCAUCUCAAGGAAUCCUGUUUCAUCGGGAAAAAGAAAGCUACAAAGCCAGUUGUAAAAUACAUCGUGACGGAGAAAAAUGUGGAAACUAAGGAAGAGCAAACUGGGACGAAAGACCAAAUACAGAAGACUGGAAUGGAAAUUGAGGUAUAUGGAUCGAACAAUGAAGCAAAGAAUGAUGAAGGAAGAGUCAAUGCUAAGGAAACAACUGCAAAUGAUGACCUGAAUCGAAAACUUGAGGAGGAAGUAGAAAUAAGGCUACUAGACGCAGAAUCCUGGUGCUCACCAACAUAGAUGGUUCGAGCUUCAAACAGAAAUAAAGGCGAGGGGAGCAUGGAGAUACCAGAGUCACCUUCUCGAUACCAUAUAUUAGCAAUUCAGAAUGAUGGUGAUGCAGAGGAAGAAGCACAAUCAUUAGAGGAAAAGGAUUUUGAAGAGGGGGAAAUCCAAAGCAGGGAUCAAGAGGCUCAUGAUGAGAGAUUGGAGGAAACGAGUACCCUGCGGGUUUCUCUUCCGAGAACAUCGAAGAAAAAUAAGGUCAAUCAGGAAACUGUUACUCAUAUUAAAACUCUGAGUAAAAAGGUUCCCCGAAAAAAAAACUUAAAUGGCUGGGUUCCUAUGUAAUGUGCGCGGAUUUAACAAACUUUCAAAACAUUCCAUCGUUAGGAGCUGGGUAAAUAAAAGCUCUAUGUCUCUUGGUUGCUUGUUGGAGACAAGAGUGAAGGAGGGAAGAAUGGAUCAGAUUGUAAAUUUGGAUUUUCAGGGGUGGUCUAUAAUUGCAAACUAUGAGUUCAAUCGACUUGGUUGAAUCUGGGUUUUAUGGAAUGCAAAUGUGCGACUUACACCGGUGUUUAAAAGUAGUCAGGUGAUUACCUGCUCUGUUUUGUUGGAAGGACACGAUGAGAAGUUCUUGUGUUCUUUUGUGUAUGCCUCUAACUUUGUGGAAGAGAGGAAGCUGCUAUGGGAUGAUCUUAAGGCUCAUUAUGACUCCAAUGUUUCGUAAUAAGCCUUGGCUUAUCCAAGGGGAUCUCAAAGAGAUUUUAAGGGGAGAUGAACGAUUCAAAUUUCAUGGUAUCCCCGAGUCUCCCGCCUGGAAUGAGAGACUUUCAAGAAAUGGUAAGACAUUGUGCAGUGAUGGAUUUGGGUUACCAGGGACCAUGUUUCACUUGGUGUAAUAAGAGGGACGAGGGAUUGGUGUGCAAAAAACUGGAUCGGUUUUUGGUCAACAAUACACGGCUGGUAACAUAUCCAAACUCUUACUAUGUAUUUGAUUCUGGCGGCUGUUCUGAUUAUCUACGAGGAAGGUUGGAGUAUGAGAGUGAUACUGAACGGCACAGGAGACCAUUCAAAUUUCUGAAUAUUUCAGUCAAGUUACCUCGAUUCAUGGAAGUUGUGACAAGUUAUUGGGAAAAUACAACUCCUCUGUUUCUGUCUACAUCGAGUCUGUAUCGAUUCUCCAAAAAACUAAAGGCAUUAAAACCUUUGGUGAAGGAGCUAGGGAAAGAGGCGUUUGGGGAUCUACCGAAGCGAGCAAAAGAAGCACACAAUCAGCUCUGUAAGAAGCAAGAAGCUACGCUGCAAAACCCUUUGCAGCAAAAUAUAAUCGAGGAAAAUGCUGCUUUCGUGAAGUGGCAAAAUCUAUCGCUGUUUGAGGAAGGUUAUCUGAAGCAGAGAGCCAAACUGCAUUGGCUAAACACUGGUGAUCAUAACAAUAAGACUUUUCGCAAUGCAGUCCAAGCGAGAAAGAUAAAGAAUACCAUCUGGGAAAUUAUUAAUCCACAUGGUGAAGUACUAAAGAGUGGGAAAUAUAUAAAGCUGGAGGCAGAACGUUUUUUAAAAGAUUUCUUGCCUCACAAACUUUUGGAGUUCGAGGGUGCUUCAGUAGAAAAGUUGAAGGAUAUAUUGCAUUUCCGAUGUUCAGAUGCUGAUAGAGAACAGCUAAUUAAAGACGUAACCGAUGAAGAGAUUCAUAAGCCUUUAUUUGGGAUGCCAAAUGACAAAUCACCGGGGCCUGAUGGCUUCACAAGUGAGUUUUUUAAAGCAGCUUGGCCGGUACUUGAGAAUGAUUUCUUGGUGGCGAUUGAAUUCUUUUUCGUCAUGGGGUGCCUUCCAGAGGGUUUAAAUUCUACAAUUCUGGCUCUUAUUCCAAAGAAAGAAAACUCCAAGGAGAUGAAAGAUUACAGACCAAUCUCAUGCUGCAAUGUUCUGUACAAGGUAGUAUCAAAGAUUGUGGCAAACUAGCUAAAGUUGAUGCUUCCAAAGUUUAUAAGCCAAAACCAAUCAGCAUUUGUAAAGGAGCGGCUUCUCAUGGAAAAUCUGCUAUUAGCUACUGAGGUAGUUAAGGAUUAUCAUAAGGACUCGGUAUCACCAUGCUCCAUGAAGAUUGAUAUAUCUAAGGCUUUUGACUCUGUUCAAUAGUCUUUUCUGCUAAACACACUUGAGGCGCUGAAUUUCCCAGAGAGAUUUAUUCACUGGAUAAGACUAUGUGUGUCCAUUACUUCUUUCUCAGUUCAAGUUAAUGGGGAAUUGGCUGGGUUUUUCAGAAGUGAGAGAGGAAUUCAACAGGGGUGUUCAUUAUCUCCAUACCUGUUCGUCAUUUUUAUGAAUGUUCUAUCUCGGCUAAUCGAUGCAGCUGCGGUUGAAAGAAGGAUUAGCUAUCAUCCGAGAUCUAAGAAUGUGCAGCUCACUCACCUCUGUUUCGCAGAUGAUCUUAUGGUGUUUGUAGAGGGGACGAAGAAUUCUAUUGAGAGAAUAAUGAAGAUAUUUGAUGAGUUCGCUGUGUUUUCAGGACUGAGAAUUCUAUUGAGGGAAUAAUGAAGAUAUUUGAUGAGUUUGCUGUGUUUUCAGGAUUGAGAAUCAGUGUGGAAAAAUACACCCUUUACUUGGCAGGCAUCCCAGAAAGUACCAGAGAGGACAUUAUGGCACAAUUUCCUUUUGCAACAGGUCAUUUGCCAGUGCGGUACCUAGGGCUACCACUCCUCACUAAAGGCAUGACGGUCUCCGACUAUAUGCCAUUGCUGGAGCGGAUUAAAUCCAGGAUCAGUUCGUGGUAUUUCAAUUAUUAUCUUUCACAGGAAGAUUACAGUUGAUCAGCUCAGUCACUGCUAGUAUAACCAAUUUCGACAGGAUAGACUUCCGAGUGCAUGUAUUAAAGACAUCGACAGGAUAUGCUCGCUCAGCUUUUUAAUGGUCUGGUCCGAGUCUCAAUCCGCGAAGGGCGAAGGUGGCUUGGGAAAUUGUUUGUAGAGUGAGAUUUAAUGGAGGGCUAGGCUUAAAACUGCUUCGUGAGGUGAAUAAGGUCGCAUGUAUGAAACUAAUCUGGCGAAUUCUUUCAGCUCGGGAUUCUCUCUGGAUGAAGUGGAUCUAUAGCACUAUCAUUCGUAGGGGAUCUUUCUGGUCAAUAAAGGAUACAUCAAGCCUGGGUUCUUGGAUGUGGAAGAAGCUCCUUAAGGUGAGAAAGGAGGCGAAACAGUUUCAUAAGGUGGAGAUACGAGAUGGUUCUCAGACGUCUUUUUUGGUAUGAACACUGGUUUGCAUUGGGUCGAAUUUAUGACUAUACAGGCGCGAGAGGAGUGAUUGAUUUGGGAAUAGGCACUCACACUACACUUGCGGAUGUUCUCAGCUCACAUAGGCGAAGAAAUCACCGAGUUCCAAUACUCAAUGAUAUUGAAAAAGAGAUAGCUACGUUAAGACAUAAGGGAAUACAAGAAGGAUCUGAUAUCCAUUUAUGGAAGUGUGCUGAUGAUAAAUUCAAGAAGAAAUUUCUAUCAAAAAACACAUGGAACCUCAUUAGACAUCGAAAUCCUACUAAUAACUGGUAUAAGGGAGUCUGGUUCAAACACUCAACUCCUAAAUACUUGUUUUUAACUUGGAUUGCUAUUCUUAAUCGGCUCACAACGGGAGACAGGAUGUUGCAAUGGAACGGAGGACAAAGCCCCAACUGUGUAUGUUGUCAAAAAUGGUGUUGAGGAAUCGGUGCGACAUCUUUUCUUCUCAUGUAGCUACUCAUCAGAGGUAUGGAAGCAUCUCACUUCUGGACUCUUUGGGCAGGACUAUACGGUGGUUUGGAAUGAUCUUGUUGCUCUGCUGCACGAAUCCAUAUUAGAUCGGAUAAAUCAAUUCCUAUUCAUAUAUUGCUUCUAGACCACAAUGUAUCAUAUAUAGAGGGAACGUAAUGGCCGGCGACAUGGAGAAAUUCCCCUUGCUCCUACUCGACUCGCAAAGCUCAUAGAUAAAAUUGUUUGAAACCAGAUCUCAGCAAUUCGGAAAACAGAGGAUCACACAUAUGACCAGGCUCUCGAGAUAUGGUUCUCUACAAGACCACCUUAGCUCUCAAAUGGCAUGGUUUCGAAAUAGCUUAGUUUCAAUUUUUUGACUAUUUACUUAGAUCAAAGUUGCAUUCAUUGUCAAAACGAUUUUUUUUGUUUGAAUACAAUUUUACAUUCAAUUAAAAAAAAAACACUUGUUUCAUUUGCUUAAUUCAAAAUUAACCUGAUUACAGUUAGAACAUGUUUGACACCUUCGUUGAUUGCGAUUAAUACUAGUGUUUGAUAGUUUAUUGGCAUGAUAGCAAUGAAUCAGUGAAUGAUGAUGAUUUAUUGAGAUAUUAUAUGUGAUUCUUAUCUUUGUUUAUAGUAUACUAGAUUAGGUCUCGCGUGAUACGCAAAAAAAUUGUUAAAAUAUUUAGAUUUUAAAAUUGAUAACCCGUUAUGAUAUGUAUAGUUAAAUUCUAAAUUAGGAUCUCAUUAACUUAUCCGCAAACUAUAUUUUAAUUUGUCAUUAUUCAAAAUCAAUCUAUUUUUUUAUAAACCUGAUAAACAAUCUUUUGAAAUUAUUUUUUUAAUUUAUAAAUUAUAGAUUUUAUAGUUGAUAUUUUCUAAUUUUGCAGGUUCUAUUUUUUCUCUCAUUUUAUAUUUUUCUAUUUUACGGAGUAGUUUUUAUAUAAAAAUAGAUUUUUUUCUCUCGGUUUUUUUUGAAACAAAUGACUAAAAAUUAUGAAUUUUAUAUUAUUGUAUUGACACAUGUCACAAUCUAAAUUAAUGAUAAUAAAUGUCGCGAUCGAGUUAUAAUUAUCUUACAUGUCAUGCUUACAUUGAGGGAUUCUCUUUUAUAUAACAAGAUGUUUGAUUUCAUUAAUAUAUUUAUGUGCAAUUGCCUCUUUGAUGAUCUUAAGAUCGAAUACUUGAUCCAUAUAUUCUUUAGAGCAAUCUAAAAGAAAAAAUAUGAUUACUAGAAUAUGAUAUUGCUUAAAACUUGUUGUGAUUGGUUAUAAUAAAAUUAUAUGACUUGGAGUCUGUAAGACUAAACAAUGAGUUAUAGAUGAAAAAUUUAUGAAUCACGCCCAAUGAACAUUGGUCCAUUCUAAUAACUCUUGCCAAGAGAGUGGCUAUAGAUGUGAAGGUGGAUAUAAAUAUGGAUAUGAUCAAGAUUAAGCUCGAGGCCAAAGAGUUUGUCUUAAAAAACUCAGAUUCUCACCAAAAGUGAGAAAAUAAAGAUGGUAACAUACAAGAAAUAUUUUUCUCAUGUGACGAUGAGAUAAACUAGUGUGUAUACAAUAUAAUGGAGUACAAAGAAUAUUAAUGGCUCUAGAAGAGUAAAUCUAUUUGCGUAUGGAAACGCAAUUCAAAAUCAUUGAUGUAUUAUUGUAACAUCUCUAUCCCAGACUUCCUACAAAAUCAGGAAAUCAGGCAUGUUAGAUUGGUGGUCUAACCCCAUUCGGUUAACCACCUGGUUUGGUCCCUUGGUGAGCAACGCAUGAUCGCCACAAAAACGUCUAGGUAACAACACCAACAAAGAAAUAAUGUUGAUCGAUCUAACCUGGAGAAAUAAAGGGAAGAAUAUGGGUAAGUAACGGGGAUUACUAAGUGAGGAUGAGCCUUAGGCGGCCCACAGUUCACUACUUAACAAUAACAUUCCUCAUCUCAUAACCAUUUCCACAUUCCAUUUAGUGCCACAUUUCCACUAAAUAAUACUUGACUUAACCACACAUGGUACCCCUCAGUGCACCAACACAGGGCUUCGCUCCACCCCUUAAUAGGCCACUGCCUCAAAAGAGGCGGCCACUUGCCCGACACCCGACCCCGCCUCCAAUACAGGACAUGACGGAUCAGCAUGCCUUUCCAUUCUCAAACUAGGUCACACAGACUUUUUUGAGGGUUUUCCAUAAACCGCCCGGUGUUGGGACCUUUAUAGGCAUCACUCAGCCCCAACAAACAAGCCUGACCCACAGGAAUCUCUUGUGCGGGUACCUAACAAUUUUAAUAUAUCAAGCAUUCUUAACAAUCAACAAUCAAUACUAGUUUAACUAUAAAUCACUUGCUUCAAUCUAAAAUGCACAUUCAACACCAAGUUGUAACAAAAGAAUAUUAAAACAGGUUAUCAAACAAACUUCCAUAUUUUAGGGUUCAUUUAACCUUAGGUCCAUAUUUAUUACUUGUCUCACAAGCAACCAUCAAUCAUCAAGGAAUCACAAUCAAACCCUAACAACAGAUCUAUAAACCUAAAGAUUCAUCUACCACAUCCUAGCAACAGAUCUAAGCUUAAGUUUAAGAAGAUAUUAACUGCAUUAAAACACAUCUUGAGAAAGAGGGUGAGGGAAACAAGUCCUCACCUUGGUACCAAAGGAUGCAGCAGCGCAUGAGGAGGAGAAGACAUCGGAGAAGGAGGAGAAAGAAGAGAUUCAUCCUCAUCAGAUCCAAACUUGAAGGGAGGAGGCGACAGAGACGAAGGAGGAGAAGAGGUGAUUGCGGCAAGGGAAGAGAGAGAGAGAGAGAGAGAGAGGGGAGGCUCGCAGAGAAGAAGGAAAAAGAGAAAGAAAAGGUUGGUCACGACAGAGGAGAGGAGAGAGAUAGAGGAGAGAGAGAGAGAGAGAGAGAGAGAGAGAGAGAGAGAAAGAGAGAGAGAGAGAGAGAGAGAGAGAGAGAGAGAGAGAGAGAGGGAGAGAGAGAGGGAGAGAGAGAGGGAGAGAGAGAGGGAGAGAGAGAGGGGGAGAGAGAAAGAGAGAAGGAGAGGGAGAGAGGGAGAAAGAGGGAGAGAGAGUUUCUCUAUUU